rnacentral:rRNA from 1 species
CCCGCUGAACUUAAGCAUAUCAAUAAGCGGAGGAAAAGAAACUAACAAGGAUUCCCCUAGUAACUGCGAGUGAAGCGGGAAAAGCUCAAAUUUAAAAUCUGGUGGUCUUUGGCCAUCCGAGUUGUAAUCUAGAGAAGUGUUAUCCGCGCUGGACCGUGUACAAGUCUCCUGGAAUGGAGCGUCAUAGAGGGUGAGAAUCCCGUCUUUGACACGGACUGCCAGGGCUUUGUGAUGCGCUCUCAAAGAGUCGAGUUGUUUGGGAAUGCAGCUCAAAAUGGGUGGUAAAUUCCAUCUAAAGCUAAAUAUUGGCGAGAGACCGAUAGCGAACAAGUACCGUGAGGGAAAGAUGAAAAGAACUUUGGAAAGAGAGUUAAACAGUACGUGAAAUUGCUGAAAGGGAAACGCUUGAAGUCAGUCGCGUUGGCCGGGAAUCAGCCUUGCUUUUUGUGAGGUGUACUUCCUGGUUGAUGGGUCAGCAUCAAUUUUGACCGUUGGAGAAAGGCUUUGGGAAUGUGGCACCUUCGGGUGUGUUAUAGCCCUUUGUUGUAUACGACGGUUGGGAUUGAGGACUGCAGCACGCCUUUAUGGCCGGGGUUCGCCCACGUACGUGCUUAGGAUGUUGGCAUAAUGGCUUUAAGCGACCCGUCUUGAAACACGG